GACGAACGCUGGCGGCGUGCCUAACACAUGCAAGUCAGGGAGAAAGAGGUAGCAAUAUCUCGAGUAAACCGGCGAACGGGUGAGUAACACGUAGGUAACCUGCCCUCGAGUUGGGAAUAACUUCGAGAAAUCGAGGCUAAUACCGGAUAAUGCAACGAACUCGCAUGGGUUUGUUGUUAAAGUUCCGCGCAAGCGGAACGCUUGAGGAUGGACCUGCGGCCGAUUAGCUAGUUGGCGGAGUAACAGCCCACCAAGGCGACGAUCGGUAGCCGACCUGAGAGGGUGACCGGCCACACUGGGACUGAGAUAC
rnacentral:rRNA from 1 species